rnacentral:misc_RNA from 1 species
AGUGAGUCUCGCUUUGAGGAUCAACUGUUAUGGAGUCGGCGAAUGUCUGCUGGAGCUAGCAAUGCAACUUGUGAUGUUUUUCAUGGCGCAAAAACACGUUGAUAUCUCAAUUAUAGAACUAUGGCAGGCCAUGAAAUGGUGCACAAUGCCAUGUACGCACCACACGAAUACGAUGCUGGAAUUUCUUCAGUAGACCAAAUAAGUUUUCUAAACGGAGAAGAUGACAUUCCAAGAAUCACGCGAAUCGACUCGGCGGAGGUUGUGUACAGAGCUCACAGAAGGGCCAAACUAGUGGGGAAAUAUUUAAUGGGGGACAUUUUAGGGGAGGGUUCAUAUGGAAAAGUUAAAGAAGCUCUAGAUACAGAAACAUUACAAAGACGUGCAAUUAAAAUAAUCAAGAGGAGAAAACUGAGGAAAAUAAACAACGGGGAGCAAAAUGUGAAAAGGUAAACAAGGGUUGAUGCUCAUGGGGACCAUAGGUAUUAACACGUAAUCAGACGACGAAAUAAAGGUUAGGUAUUCAAAAUCAAACAGCAAGGCUAAUUUGUUCAUUUUUUAUUGGUCAUUUCUAAUUUACUACUCAUUUCACAAUGAGAUGAUUUUCAUUCUUUACACGAGUUCAUUUGGAAAAAGUAAUGCUUAUGUACCUUAUGUCUGAUUGCUCACAAAAACUUCUUUUCAUCUACAAUAAGUAGAGUUUCUAAGGUGUUUUUUUAUGCAAUACUGGCAAGGGGACAAUCAUCCAAAAAUAUGUGACAGGUUUUUCUGGCAAGUAAAAUAUCAAAAUCCU